GACGAACGCUGGCGGCGUGCCUAACACAUGCAAGUCGAACGGGGUAGAGAGCUUCGGUUUUCUACUUAGUGGCGAACGGGUGAGUAACGCGUGAGAAACCCGCCUUUCAGUGGGGGACAACAGUUGGAAACGACUGCUAAUACCGCAUAAUGUUAUUUGGGGGCAUCCUUGAAUAACCAAAGAUUUAUUGCUGAAAGAUGGUCUCGCGUCUGAUUAGCUAGAUGGCGGGGUAACGUCCCACCAUGGCGACGAUCAGUAGCCGGUCUGAGAGGAUGAACGGCCACAUUGGGACUGAGAUACGGCCCAGACUCCUACGGGAGGCAGCAGUGGGGAAUAUUGGGCAAUGGGGGAAACCCUGACCCAGCAACGCCGCGUGAAGGAAGAAGGCCUUCGGGUUGUAAACUUCUUUUACCAGGGACGAACAAAUGACGGUACCUGGAGAAAAAGCAACGGCUAACUACGUGCCAGCCGCCGCCGUAAGAC
rnacentral:rRNA from 1 species